rnacentral:rRNA from 1 species
UACGUAGGGUGCGAGCGUUAAUCGGAAUUACUGGGCGUAAAGAGUGCGUUAGGCGGUUUCUCAAGUCCGCUAGUCGGAAAUCCCCGGGCUUAACCUUGGGAACUGCGUUUGAAACUGGAAGGCUAGAGGUGUGGCAGAGGGGGGGUGGAAUUCCGACGAUGUAGCAGUGAAAUGCGUAGAGAUGUGGAGGAAUACCGCAGUGGCGAAGGCAGCCCCCCUGGGCCAAUACUGACGCUCAUGGCACGAAAGCGUGGGGAGCAAACAGG